UACGAAGGGGGCUAGCGUUGCUCGGAAUCACUGGGCGUAAAGGGUGCGUAGGCGGGUCUUUAAGUCAGGGGUGAAAUCCUGGAGCUCAACUCCAGAACUGCCUUUGAUACUGUCUGGCUUGAGGCCGGGAGGGGGUAGCGGAAUUCCCAGUGUAGCGGUGAAAUGCGUAGAUACUGGGAGGAACACCGGUGGCGAAGGCGGCUACCUGGACCGGUUCUGACGCUGAUGCGCGAAAGCGUGGGUAGCAAACAGG
rnacentral:rRNA from 1 species